rnacentral:rRNA from 1 species
UACGUAGGGUCCGAGCGUUGUCCGGAAUUACUGGGCGUAAAGAGCUCGUAGGCGGUUUGUCGCGUCGACUGUGAAAACCCGAGGCUUAACCUCGGGCCUGCAGUCGAUACGGGCAGACUAGAGUUCGGUAGGGGAGACUGGAAUUCCUGGUGUAGCGGUGAAAUGCGCAGAUAUCAGGAGGAACACCGGUGGCGAAGGCGGGUCUCUGGACAGCUCCUGACGCUGAGGCGCGAAGGCUAGGGGAGCAAACGGG